AACCCAGACCGCCAGCUAAGGUCCCAAAGUCAUGGUUAAGUGGGAAACGAUGUGGGAAGGCCCAGACAGCCAGGAUGUUGGCUUAGAAGCAGCCAUCAUUUAAAGAAAGCGUAAUAGCUCACUGGUCGAGUCGGCCUGCGCGGAAGAUGUAACGGGGCUAAACCAUGCACCGAAGCUGCGGCAGCGACACUAUGUGUUGUUGGGUAGGGGAGCGU
rnacentral:rRNA from 1 species